rnacentral:lncRNA from 10 species
GCAAAAAUGAAAGAAAAAUAAUGUUUUGGUAUUUGAUUCAGUUACUAGAAAAUUGAGUAUAUUUGAAAUAACUUGGGAAUGUGAACCUAUGUUUUUAAUUAUUCAUUUUAUAAAAUAUAAGUACAGAUCAAGUAUGGCUUUUUUUUUUUUUUUUUUUUUUUUGAGACGGAGGCUCGCUCUGUCGCCCAGGCUGGAGUGCUGGGAUUACAGGUGUGAGCCACCGCGACAGGCCUCCUUUUUAUUUUAUUUUAUUUUUUUGUGAGACAGGGUCUCCCUCUGUUGCCCAGGCUGGAGUACAGUAGUGCAAUUUUGGCUCACUGAACCUCUGCCUCCUGGGCUCAUGAUCCUCCCACAUCAGCCUCCCAAAUAGCUGGGACUACGGGCAUGUGCCACCAUGCCAGGCUAAUUUUUGUAUUUUUAUUAGAGACUAGGUUUCGCCACAUUGCCCAGGCUGGUCUCCAACUCCUGGGCUCAAGUGAUCCACCCACCUCAGUCUCCCAAAGUGCUGGGAUAACAGGCGUGAGCCACUGCGCCUGGCCUCAAGUAUUUCCAUGAAAAUUUAGCAUCUGAAUUAAGAUGUCCUGUAAAUAUAAACUACAGGUACACACUGGAGUUUGAAGACUUAGAAAAAAAAAUAUGAGAUAUUCCAUUAUAAUAAUUAUUAUACAAUGUACAUGUAUAUCAAAAUACUACAUUGUAUACCUGAAUUAUAUAUAAUUGUUACUUGUCAAUUAUAUCUGAAUAAAGCGGGUAAUAAUUUUAUAUUGAUUUCAUGUUGAAAUAAUAUUUUGGAUAUGUUGGGUUAAAUAAAAUAUAUAUUAAAAUUAAUUUUAUGUUUCUUUUAACUUUUUAAAAUGUAUCUUAAGGCUAGUCCAAGUGCCAUCGUGUUUACAACUGAUUGAUCACAAGCAAUUGCAAAUUUCUUUGUUCCUUCUCCACUCUCACUGCUUCAUUUGACUAGCCUUUAAAAAAUGUGGCUUAAAAGUGAGUUUAGGCUGGGCGUGGUGGCUCUCGCCUGUAAUCCCAGCACUUUGGGAGGCCGAGGUAGGUGGAUCACGAGGUCAGAUCGAGACCAUCCCGGCUAACACGGUGAAACCCCGUCUCUACUAAAAAUACAAAAAAUUAGUCAGGCAUGGUGGUGGGCGCCUGUAGUCCCAGCUACUUGGGAGGCUGAGGCAGGAGAAUGGCGUGAACUUGGGAGGUGGAGCUUGCAGUGAGCCAAGAUGGCGCCACUGCACUCCAGCCAGGGCGACAGAGGGAGAUUCCAUAUCAAAAAAAAAAAAAAAAAGUGAGUUUAAAAUUACAUAUGUGCCCUGUAUGAUGUUUCUAGUGGACAGCAUUGCUGCUCUAGAGACACAGAUAAGUAUCACAGCACUCAUCAUGUUAUAUUUUAACGGCCUUGAGAGAAAGUUGGGGUUUCAUGUAAGCACAUAGGACAGCUACCCAGCAGUCUUAGAAUAAUGAGUAGAAGACAAGGACAUCAGAAGCUGGCCACAAAAAUACCAGGCCAUCCACUGAAGUAAUAGACAUUUGUAAUGACUGAACCAUGAUAACUUUUCUGUUAUCUAUGGAACACGUCCCAUCCCAGUGGCAAGUAUUUAUACCUGGAUGACUUUACCAUUGUUCAAGUUCUAGGAGUGGGUUCCUGACUUACAUACUAAGCAAGGCCAAGCGGGUUGAAAGGCACAGGGUGAUCCCAGCUGGCCUGAAUUGACCCCAGACUAAUCUUCAG